rnacentral:rRNA from 1 species
GUACACGCUGUGACUAGCAUAUCAAUAAGCGGAGGAAAAGAAACUAACAAGGAUUCCCCUAGUAACGGCGAGUGAAGCGGGAAGAGCUCAAAUUUGAAAUCUUAAAGGGUUUCCCUUUACGAAUUGUAGUUUAAAGAAGUGUUUUCUGUUGAGGUUUUGGUAAAAGUUCUUUGGAAUAGGACAUCAUAGAGGGUGAGAAUCCCGUAUUUGACCUUUACUUUCAACUUUGUGAUACACUUUCAAAGAGUCGGAUUGUUUGGGAAUGCAGUCCAAAAUGGGUGGUAAAUUUCAUCUAAAGCUAAAUAUUGGCGAGAGACCGAUAGCGAACAAGUACCGUGAGGGAAAGAUGAAAAGAACUUUGAAAAGAGAGUUAAACAGUACGUGAAAUUGUCAAAAGGGAAGCGUUUGACACCAGUGUUGUUUUUCUAGAAAAUCAAUUAAAGAACUGUUUAUGCUAAGCUGUUUAGGACUUUAUCAGGCUAAUCUGUUUAGUUUUGAGCUUUUCUUUAAUGCACUUUUCAGUUAACAAGUCAACAUCAAUUUCUUUUGCUGUAAAAAAGGCUUGAGGAAGGUGGCUUGAGAUUCGUCUUAAGUGUUUAUAGCCUCUUGCCUAUGCAGUCGGAGAGAUUGAGGUCUGCAGCGUAGAUCCUUCGGGGCUAAAUGCAUUUGUGCUAAGUUAUAGCAUUUUAUAGACAACUUGUUGACUAUGAUUUGUCUUGUAGCUUACUCGCUUAUGUUAUUUUACCUACGCUUAGGAUGUUGACUGAUAUGUAGUCGUA